GACGAACGCUGGCGGCGUGCCUAAUACAUGCAAGUUGAGCGAUGAAGAUUGGUGCUUGCACCAAUUUGAAGAGCAGCGAACGGGUGAGUAACGCGUGGGGAAUCUGCCUUUGAGCGGGGGACAACAUUUGGAAACGAAUGCUAAUACCGCAUAACAACUUUAAACAUAAGUUUUAAGUUUGAAAGAUGCAAUUGCAUCACUCAAAGAUGAUCCCGCGUUGUAUUAGCUAGUUGGUGAGGUAAAGGCUCACCAAGGCGAUGAUACAUAGUCGACCUGAGAGGGUGAUCGGCCACAUUGGGACUGAGACACGGCCCAAACUCCUACGGGAGGCAGCAGUAGGGAAUCUUCGGCAAUGGACGAAAGUCUGACCGAGCAACGCCGCGUGAGUGAAGAAGGUUUUCGGAUCGUAAAACUCUGUUGGUAGAGAAGAACGUUGGUGAGAGUGGAAAGCUCAUCAAGUGACGGUAACUACCCAGAAAGGGACGGCUAACUACGUG
rnacentral:rRNA from 1 species